GGGUUUGUGGCUCAGUGGUAGAGCGCUUGCCUAGCAUGUGUGAAGCACUGGGUUCAAUCCUCAGCACCA
rnacentral:tRNA from 1 species